AAGUCAUAUGACAAAUGAAAAAUUAAAUGAUUUUUUACUUCCAUACAAAAAGGAGAUCUUGUACGUAUUCCUUCAAUCUAUAAAAGUCGUGUGACAAAUGACAAAUACUCAAAUAAGUAAACUAUGUCACAAACUUAUAUAAGUGAUCAGUAUCUCAAUAGCAAUUUAUUUUAUCACAAGAUCUAACGUAUUGUUAUAGUACACAUUGAAUUGCUAAUUGCAUCUCUAUGCCACAAAUCUCACGUACUUAAUAUUAAUUGAUAAUUCUAUCUUUUAUAAAUACAUAUACAUCCAUUUAUACAUAACAUGAAGAAAAAAUUGAGGCAAAAAACUAGUUUUAAGACUAAAAAUUAAGGUGAAAAUGAAGAGACAACAUAAUAUGAGGGAAAAAAAAGCUGACUGUGAACUAAGAGGAUG
rnacentral:lncRNA from 1 species